AUGCUGGUUAUUCUCCAUUUACCACCCCUUGGAUACAUUCUCAAUCCCCUCAGGCAUCCUCUGUGUCCUAAGAGGCUGACCUAUGAGCUGCAUCUCCUGACCUUCUGGCUUCUGUUUGGAAACAACCAGUGGGAAGCACCAGUAGGAGUGUGGAGGUUGGGUGGUAAUAACAGGUCUCAUGAGAGUUGUCUUAGAAAGCACUUUAAGAGAUCUACAACAAGCAAAGAGCUGGAUUUCUGGAUUGCCUGGGCCUGGGCCUGGGAUCCUUGGUUUAAAAAGAGUCACUGUCAUAAACAGGUAAGAAUUGAAGUGAAAAAUAAUGUAUCUACAAUGUGGAAGAGGGCCUGUUUUGUUAGGGGUUAGUCAUUUCCAGCAGAUGAAAUGGCAUGGCCUGCUGGAGAUUUAGUAAGUUGGAGGUCAUGUUGACUUAAUAUACAAAAUUGUUCAGAAUUGCUGUUUUGUUUGGCAAGUUACUUUCUUUAAUUGCCUUUAAUAUUUAUUUAUUUUUCAGGGAGCUGUAUUGUAUA
rnacentral:lncRNA from 1 species